rnacentral:rRNA from 1 species
AGUGAACGCUGGCGGUAGGCCUAACACAUGCAAGUCGAACGGCAGCACAGUAAGAGCUUGCUCUUACGGGUGGCGAGUGGCGGACGGGUGAGGAAUACAUCGGAAUCUACUUUUUCGUGGGGGAUAACGUAGGGAAACUUACGCUAAUACCGCAUACGACCUACGGGUGAAAGCAGGGGAUCUUCGGACCUUGCGCGAUUGAAUGAGCCGAUGUCGGCUUAGCUAGUUGGCGGGGUAAAGGCCCACCAAGGCGACGAUCCGUAGCUGGUCUGAGAGGAUGACCAGCCACACUGGAACUGAGACACGGUCCAGACUCCUACGGGAGGCAGCAGUGGGGAAUAUUGGACAAUGGGCGCAAGCCUGAUCCAGCCAUACCGCGUGGGUGAAGAAGGCCUUCGGGUUGGAAAGCCCUUUUGUUGGGAAAGAAAAGCAGCAGGUUAAUACCCCGCUGUUCUGACGGUACCCAAAGAAUAAGCACCGGCUAACUUCGUG